GAGUAUUUGAUUCCAGUCGAUGGCAAUGGGCCAGGCAUGGGGACUGUUCCUUUUCAGCAGCCUCCAUAGCCCGGUCACUGGUACAUGG
rnacentral:snoRNA from 1 species